rnacentral:rRNA from 1 species
UUGACGUAGACCCGAAACCGGGCGACCUACCCAUGAGCAGGAUGAAGCGAAAGUAAAAUUUCGUGGAGGUCCGAACCCACGAGCGUUGAAAAGCUCGGGGAUGACUUGUGGGUAGCGGUGAAAUUCCAAUCGAGCCCGGAGAUAGCUGGUUCUCCCCGAAAUAGCUUUAGGGCUAGCCUCAAGGUGAGAGAUACGGAGGUAGAGCACUGAAUGUCCUAGGGGGUAUUGCACCUACCGAAGACUAUUAAACUCCGAAUGCCGUCAUCUUAUACUUGGGAGUCAGACUGUGGGUGAUAAGAUUCAUAGUCGAAAGGGCAACAGCCCAGAUCGUCAGCUAAGGUCCCUAAAUGUAAGUUAAGUGGUAAAGGAUGUGGGAUUGCACAGACAACCAGGAUGUUGGCUUAGAAGCAGCCACUCAUUCAAAGAGUGCGUAAUAGCUCACUGGUCGAGUGAUCCUGCGCCGAAGAUUUCCGGGGCUAAAACUUACUACCGAAGCUACGGCAUCAGUAAUGAUGGG